GGAUUAUUGAUGGAGUGCCUCCAAAAUAUCUCAUGAUUUUUGAUUAAUGAAAAUUCCUGAUUGGAAAGAGAAGUUACCCUAAAGCCAGGAGUCUCAUAGGAAAAGCCUGCUGGUCACCCCAACAUGGGUAGCGGGGUACACCACCUGUGGUCGACUGCUCCACUUCACCCAAGGCCAAACUUCAGCCUGGCACACUCACAUGUGAUUUAUGAUCUCUCAGGCCCUCGGAGAUCAAAAAGGAUUGAGGACUGCAUGCUGCUGGCGGAACCACUGUUUUCAGGAAGGAAAGGAUGUGUUGGUGAAAGCCAGGGUUUUUUUCAAGGACUCCAGCAAGGACCCUCCCCCGCCCUUGUCAUCAUGACUCCUCCUUUCUCACCACCUCAAUACCACCCAUGGAAGUCAGGGUCCAGCAAGGUACUUCUGCAACUUUAGCUACACUACACCUGACCAUGAGGAGAGGGAUCACUCCUCUGCUAAAACAACAAACUCUCUUAAGUUUGAGGACCUAGUGGAUCACUGACUUGAAGCUCCGGAAGGCUAGAGGGUUUACUCCAAAGUAGGAAUUAAAAGUAGGAACACGGAAAAGAAAAAAAAAAAAACGUAGGAACACAAUGGGGGAUACUUUGAAAUUAAAUUCAAAAAUGGAAGUGUGUGCCUUUAUUUUAAAAAUAUAUGGGUGGUUGAUUCGCUUAGUGAUCUUAUCAUUUCUAUUUCUUAUCAUUUUUAUUCUUAUACCUGAACACUUACUUACGUGUUCAGGUGUAAGAAUAAACACAAACUGAUUGAAGAUGAAGGAUCGCACACUUCAAGAAACAGAACUAGCCUAAUUCUAAAACCUACUUUGGUUUAUUUAUCAUGUAGAAGUAUCCCCUUUCAAUUUGCCAAAUCACUCAGACCAUUUCUAAGGAUGUUUCUAUGGACUUAGAAAAUAGUAACUUGUGUUUCUGCCAACGAGGGUUUUUGGUGUCAGUAAAUAAACUCCAUAAACAUGCACUCAUGCAC
rnacentral:lncRNA from 1 species